UACUAUUUCUCUAUUUCAGGCUCUUACUACUUCUUCAUCGGACAAUUAUCUGAUUUACUUACCUCGUUAACUGCCUCUGGCCCAGUUCUGAUCAUGCCACUCCCUUAAUAAGGAGGAGAAAUGCAAAAGUAUUCAGGAGAAACAGAAGAUAGAAAGGUGAUGCAAACAAUGUCAAGAGAAAAUAUAAUGACUUCCCUUUUGGAUCCCAAUGCUCACACAUGGCUGGAUGGGAUUUGGACAUUUCUGGUGACAUGAGUUUACUGCUUAUUUGGAAAUUCUCGCUGGUGUAAUUUUAACUGAUGUGGAGAGAUUUCUGGACUAGCAAUUCUAAACAGGCUUGAUUAAACAAAAGAAUGGACUUGAUUAAGUGUGAUAAUGUAUGUAACAAUCCAACAGAGACCCAGUAAACAAAUAUUCCUAAUU